rnacentral:rRNA from 1 species
UACGUAGGGUGCGAGCGUUAAUCGGAAUUACUGGGCGUAAAGCGUGCGCAGGCGGUUUUGUAAGCCAGAUGUGAAAUCCCCGGGCUUAACCUGGGAAUGGCAUUUGGGACUGCAAGGCUGGAGUGUGGCAGAGGAGACUGGAAUUCCUGGUGUAGCAGUGAAAUGCGUAGAUAUCAGGAGGAAUACCGAUGGCGAAGGCAGGUCUCUGGGACUGACACUGACGCUCAUGCACGAAAGCGUGGGGAGCAAACAGG